AUUGCCCUAGUAACGGCGAGUGAAGCGGCAACAGCUCAAAUUUGAAAUCUGGCCUCGGCCCGAGUUGUAAUUUGCAGAGGAUGCUUCUGGCGCGGUGCCUUCCGAGUUCCCUGGAACGGGACGCCACAGAGGGUGAGAGCCCCGUAUGGUCGGACACCAAGCCUGUGUGAAGCUCCUUCGACGAGUCGAGUAGUUUGGGAAUGCUGCUCUAAAUGGGAGGUAAAUCUCUUCUAAAGCUAAAUACCGGCCAGAGACCGAUAGCGCACAAGUAGAGUGAUCGAAAGAUGAAAAGCACCUUGAAAAGGGGGUUAAAUAGUACGUGAAAUUGUUGAAAGGGAAGCACUUGUGACCAGACUUGGGCCGGGCGGCUCAUCAGGGGUUCUCCCCUGUGCACUCCGCCCGGCACAGGCCAGCAUCGGUUCUCGUGGGGGGAUAAGACCGUCAGGAACGUAGCACCCUCCGGGGUGUGUUAUAGCCUGGCGGACGAUACCCCCGUGGGGACCGAGGUUCGCGCUCCGCAAGGAUGCUGGCGUAAUGGUCACCAGUGACCCGUCUUGAAACACGGACCAAGGAGUCGUCCAUUAGAGCGAGCGUUUGGGUGUAAAACCCGCACGCGUAAUGAAAGUGAACGCAGGUGAGAGCUUCGGCGCAUCAUCGACCGAUCCUGAUGUUCUCGGAAGGAUUUGAGUAAGAGUUUUAACGGACGGACCCGAAAGACAGUGAACUAUGCUUGUAUAGGGUGAAGCCAGAGGAAACUCUGGUGGAGGCUCGCAGCGGUUCUGACGUGCAAAUCGAUCGUCAAAUAUGAGCAUGGGGGCGAAAGACUAAUCGAACU
rnacentral:rRNA from 1 species